GCUUCGGCCGCGUUCACAGAGCCACGUGUCGCAAGUGAAGUCGAUGGAUAGCCUUCUUUCCAAGCAAAUAUGAAAGCGUGAACGCAUGCUGCAUGAGAAACAGCUGACCAUCUAACUUUCCAACACACACAUCACCUGUUCAACAUUAGGUAGCUCUCAAUCCUGUUGUUCUCUGUCACUUUUCCUUCUGCCUAAGCCUAUCGUGAUGAAAUGGGCAAGCAUAUCACCUUCCUUCUGCCCUUUUUCGCUUCUCUGAGUCUAUCCAAUCUUUACAGUUGGCUUGUGCCGGUGCCGCCUGGGAAACACAUGGACGAGGUGGGGGAAGGGGAUCCACCUGGGAAUAAUACCUGUCCUCUCUGCAUGCUUCGGUAAAGGAAGAGAGCACAUCCUCUCCGGGAAGGAUGAUGAUGAUGAUCCAAGUGGCUGGAUUUGGCCACGCGUGGCGGUGCCGAAGGCUUCGGAAUUAAGCCUGGGAGCUGUCAAACAGACAGCAAGACGCCACCGAAUAAUAGAUCUACGCAGAAAGGAAUGGAGGGAGGUGGAGAUGGGCAGAUGCUGCCGCUGUGGAGCGUCUGCAGCCACAUGGUCUGCUAGGUGAUCUAAGGAGGAGGAUUUGGCGUUACGUCUCAUAAUUUGGCAAUCAGAUGCAGGGCUUCUGGGGGUAUAUUCUCGGCAUGAUUCAUGGCACCAUUGCUUCUGCUGCCAACCGUGUUGAGCUUUAGGUGGCCCCAUUAUUAGCUACAGCAGCAGCAGCAGAAGCAGAUCAUAACCUUUUGACUUCACUAUGUGUAAGCAAUGAUGGGAGGCUAAAGCUGUGACCCGAAACAAGCUUCCUGAAAACCUUUCUGAAGUCCCCACACAUGCAUGCACCUCAGUCAUCUUCACGAUCAGUGUCCUUCGAGGAUUCACACUGAGGACCUGUCUCUGGUCAUGUCUCACACUACAGCUAUCUGACAGUGAGUUGCAAAUUCUCCCAAUACUUGGAGGUUUAUGAUGAGACAAUGGUCAAAAAUCAAAAAUAUUUAUUUGUUGCCGCAUGCAAAAGUCACAGCGCCGACACCUGAGAAAGCAUGAAAAGACACGGCCGGAAAUAUCAGUGUGGCUUCCAAGCUAAGUAAUCUCUUCUUCCUUGCAGCAGUUUUUACCUCUCUCUCUCUCUCUCUCUCCUGCAAAGUAAUGGCCGGCAAAGUAAAGUUUUAGUGGCUUUUACAUGUAAAAGUUUGUGUUGCAGCUGAGGUCAUUCUUUGAUGGGGAUAGCUGAUGCAGAU
rnacentral:lncRNA from 1 species